rnacentral:sRNA from 12 species
CCGCGCCUGCCGAAGGAGGCAGCCUUGUCGUUCAUUUCUCGGUUUUGCAGGCAACCCGACAAGGUACCCUCUCGUGAUCCGCAAUUUUGCGGAUUCAAAAUCUUUCC